CUCUAAACAAAGGCUACCUGUGAACAAUGGUAAUUGUUUACGUUCUCGACAGUGGACGUUGUUUACAGAAAAUUCAACCAUAUUUCCUGUACAAAGUUCGUUUAUUACUUGUACAAAAGCUUUCUAUUACAAGAAAGGAGAAAGGAGUAAAAUAUUUCUAUACUAGCAAACAAUAAAUCAUGGAAAUACACCGACUGCAUCAUACAUCAUCUUCUUUAUCCGGAGGCAGGUGAUCAGGAAGAGCUUUAUAUUCUCUAAAG